AUUGAACGCUGGCGGCAGGCCUAACACAUGCAAGUCGAACGAGUGGCGGACGGGUGAGUAAUGUCUGGGAAACUGCCUGAUGGAGGGGGAUAACUACUGGAAACGGUAUCUAAUACCGCAUACCAUCGGAUGUGCCCAUAUGGGAUUAGCUAGUAGGUGGGGUAAAGGCUCACCUAGGCGACGAUCCCUAGCUGGUCUGAGAGGAUGACCAGCAAAACUGGAACGGAGACACGGCCCAGACUCCUACGGGAGGCAGCAGUGGGGAAUAUUGCACAAUGUGGGCAAGCCUGAUGCAGCCAUGCCGCGUGUAUGAAGAAGGCCUUAGGGUUGUAAAGUACUUUCAGCGGGGAGGCGUUACCAGCAGAAGAAGCACCGGCUAACUCCGUGCCAGCAGCCGCGGUAAUAC
rnacentral:rRNA from 1 species